rnacentral:rRNA from 1 species
GACGAACGCUGGCGGCGUGCUUAACACAUGCAAGUCGAACGGAAAGGCCCUGCUUUUGUGGGGUGCUCGAGUGGCGAACGGGUGAGUAACACGUGAGUAACCUGCCCUUGACUUUGGGAUAACUUCAGGAAACUGGGGCUAAUACCGGAUAGGAGCUCCUGCUGCAUGGUGGGGGUUGGAAAGUUUCGGCGGUUGGGGAUGGACUCGCGGCUUAUCAGCUUGUUGGUGGGGUAGUGGCUUACCAAGGCUUUGACGGGUAGCCGGCCUGAGAGGGUGACCGGCCACAUUGGGACUGGGAUGCGGCCCAGACUCGUACGGGAGGCAGCGGUGGAGAAUAGUGCACAAUGGACGGAAGCCAGAUGCAGCAACGCCGCGUGCGGGAUGACGGCCUUCGGGUUGUAAACCGCUUUCGCCUGUGACGAGGCGUGAGUGACGGUAAUGGGUAAAGAAGCACCGGCUAACUACGUG